UACAGAGGUCUCAAGCGUUGUUCGGAUUCAUUGGGCGUAGAGGGUGCGUAGGUGGCGUCGUAAGUCGGGUGUGAAAUUUCGGAGCUUAACUCCGAAACUGCAUUCGAUACUGCGGUGCUUGAGGACUGGAGAGGUGACUGGAAUUUACGGUGUAGCAGUGAAAUGCGUAGAGAUCGUAAGGAAGACCAGUGGCGAAGGCGGGUCUCUGGACAGUUCCUGACACUGAGGCACGAAGGCCAGGGGAGCAAACGGG
rnacentral:rRNA from 1 species